rnacentral:rRNA from 1 species
CCUACGGGAGGCAGCAGUGGGGGAUAUUGCACAAUGGGGGGAACCCUGAUGCAGCGACGCCGCGUGGGUGAAGGAGCGUUUCGGCGCGUAAAGCUCUAUCGGCAGGGAAGAAAAUGACGGUACCUGACCAAGAAGCUCCGGCUAACUACGUGCCAGCAGCCGCGGUAACACGUAGGGGGCAAGCGUUAUCCGGAUUUACUGGGUGUAAUGGGGGCGUAGUCGGCACUGCAAGCCAGGAGUGAAAGCCCGGGGCGCAACCGCGGGACUGCAGUUGGAACUGGAUGGCUGGAGUAUAGGAGAGGCAGGCGGAAUUCCUAGUGUAGCGGUGAAAUGCGUAGAUAUUAGGAGGAACACCGGUGGCGAAGGCGGCCUGCUGGACUGUGACUGACGUUGAGGCCCGAAGGCGUGGGGAGCAAACAGGAUUAGAUACCCUAGUAGUC